GUGUUUAGGUUUUAGGAGCCGACCUCCUGUUUCCCACAGUUGCUGUGCCCUUUCACAUCCCCACCAAUUGUGCACGAGUUUCAGUUUCUGUCCAUCAUCGUCCCUUCUCCUUUUCUGGUUUUUAGGUGGUAGCCAUCCUACUCUCAUUGUUUCUGGUUUGCAUUUCCCUAAUGAUCCAUUAUAUUGAGGAGCUUUUCAUGUGCUGCUUGGCCUUUUAUUUAUCUUCUUUGGAAAAAAUGUC
rnacentral:lncRNA from 1 species